rnacentral:rRNA from 1 species
UACGAAGGGGGCUAGCGUUGCUCGGAAUCACUGGGCGUAAAGCGCACGUAGGCGGGUUGUUAAGUCGGGGGUGAAAUCCUGGAGCUCAACUCCAGAACUGCCUUCGAUACUGGCGACCUUGAGUCCGGGAGAGGUGAGUGGAACUCCGAGUGUAGAGGUGAAAUUCGUAGAUAUUCGGAAGAACACCUAUGGCGAAGGCAGCACUCUGGGACGGUACUGACGCUGAGACGCGAAAGCGUGGGGAGCGAACAGG